rnacentral:misc_RNA from 1 species
GAUGUACUGGCGUAUUGGUUGUCAAACGCUUCUACUCUUCUAUUGCUACUUCAGCGUACACUCAAAGCAAGUGCUGCUGCAGCAAUGACCCCUCUACGUCGUCGAUCCUCAUCGGCAUCUCUGUUUGGGAGGAUGUCACAGAGUUUCCGUGGAAACCCUCAAGGAGUCAAUCUUUCCUUUGCAACUGGAGGAGUUGAAACUUUAC